rnacentral:rRNA from 1 species
UGGGGAAUAUCGUACUAUGGGCGCAAGCCUGAUGCAGCCAUGCCGCGUGUAUGAAGAAGGCCUUCGGGUUGUAAAGUACUUUCAGCGGGGAGGAAGGUGUUGAGGUUAAUAACCUCAGCAAUUGACGUUACCCGCAGAAGAAGCACCGGCUAACUCCGUGCCAGCAGCCGCGGUAAUACGUAGGUGCCAGCAGCCGCGGUAAUACGUAGGUG